UGGGGAAUAUUGGACAAUGGGCGAAAGCCUGAUCCAGCAAUGCCGCGUGAGUGAUGAAGGCCCUCGGGUUGUAAAGCUCUGUCGGGAGGGACGAACGGUCUCGGGUAACGCCGAGGAUUGACGGUACCUCCAAAGGAAGCACCGGCUAACUCUGUGCCAGCAGCCGCGGUAAUACAGAGGGUGCAAGCGUUGUUCGGAAUUACUGGGCGUAAAGCGCGUGUAGGCGGCGUCGUAAGUCGGAUGUGAAAGCCCUCGGCUCAACCGAGGAAGUGCAUCCGAUACUGCGGUGCUUGAGUGUCGGAGGGGGUGGCGGAAUUCCCGGUGUAGAGGUGAAAUUCGUAGAUAUCGGGAGGAACACCUGUGGCGAAGGCGGCCACCUGGACGACAACUGACGCUGAGA
rnacentral:rRNA from 1 species